AGAUGACACUGCAUGCAGGAGCGCAUGUCCAUUCAAAGCAUUUUGAAUUUCCUUCCUCUCCAUUUAGUGGUUGGCAGGAAGCUGGAAGAUCCUCUUUCUGAGAAGAAUUGUUCCAGAAUAAAAAUCAACAGAAUCUCACAUCUGGAGGGAAAAUCCUGCUGACCAUCUUGAUGGAAUCCACCAAUCGUGCCUGCUGUCGGUGCUGCUUGUCAGUUUUCUUCACUCCAUGGUCCUGCCUGCAAAGCAUUGUGCUCCACACUUCUAUAGAGGAGAAACAUGACAGUACGGUGCCCUCUAUUUUCUUCAGGAGCCGAGACCACCCAAAAUAGUAGGGUCCAGUAGUCAUCACUCCAACAAAGCCUGUAGCAACUGGGCUUGCCCCUGGUCUGUGCUGCUACUGCAUCUCUACUACCUACUCAUGGAAGUACUGCCUCUUCUCUUGACAAAAAAGGACUCAGUUUACUUGGGCAGGCACAAUCAUUCCUCACCUAACAUCAUGUUCACUCUACCCUGAUUGAAAUGGGGAAAAAUGUUAACCCUUAUAUCUGCUCUUCCUUUGACAAAAGGUCCUCCUAGAGCUUUUAAGUAGCACAAUUCCAGGCAUCCACGGACAUUUACAUAACCCCCAUUUAAACGAUGACCUCUGGAGUUGUGCAAUAUGGGUAGCUCUUGAUCAACCCCACUGAGUCUUGUCUUGGGAGGUAAAGAUGGAUCAUUAAAACAUUAUUUAUAUUUUAUCCAUACUCUAUGAGCCUGUGGUUGUAGAACUACACACUCAGCCGGAGGAAAAAGAAUCUACUCCAUAUCCACAUUUGGAGUUAUAAAACUAAUGAAGAAAGAGGAAGCUUUAGGCUGCUUAAAUAUAUAUAAUGAGCACUUUCCAUUUUUCUUGCUCUUAUGCAGACAGUCAUUCUUUCUCCAUAUAAGUAAAUACAUUUAGUCACUUCGUGACUCUCAAGUACUGAAGGAGUACAGAGGGCCAGGCUCAGCUGUCUCUACCUGUUUCUUUCCAGAGCACAUUUGCCUCAGAAGCAAAUUCUGUUUCAUCCAUCCAGCUGUAUACAUGGUUUGUAGCUAAACAGCCCUUGGUAGGAGUGAUUUUGCUGAACUGUUGUUGGAUGUGAAGCCACUGAUAAUCAACAACCCUGAGAAAUUAUCAGUGCACCACAGAACUCUGUUGAGAAUACCAUUCUUUACAUUACAAGAUGCCAUCUCCGUUAAGUCUUCACUCAGGAAACAGCUGCCUGUCCCCAGCCUCAGGGAUAUUUCUGUACCUCUGGAGCCAUAGAUACGUUUGUAUCUUAUGUACAACUGACUCCAUAUGCUUCUUUUCUGAAUGGCUUCUAAAAUAUCAGACAUAAGCAUAAGGGCCUUUGUAGAUCUUUGUGGUUGCCUUUUAAAAUUAUUAUUAUUAUUAAUGUUAUUUCUUGCUCCAUUUUAAU